rnacentral:lncRNA from 1 species
AUAAUUAUGCCUUGUUUUAGAAUACCAGCAAGAAGAUAUGAGUUUUUCCUAGUACUGUUUUUUGCUACUGAUGAAAUCAACAAGAAUCCUUAUCUUUUACCCAACAUGUCUUUGAUAUCCCCCAUUGCUUCUGGUCAGUAUGAAAAAACAUUGGGAAAUCUGGAUAAAAUAUAUUCAGAAAAAAACCAUACCAUACAAUUUACUGAUAAUAUCUGUGUAUUUUAUGAAACCUAUUACAUAAGCCUUACAGGACCAUCAUGGAAAACAUCUGUAAAACUCUCAAUUCAUCCUGGGACACCAAGGGUUUUCUUUGGACCAUUUAAUCCUAAACUUAGUGACCAUGACCAGUUUCCCUAUGUCCAUCAGGUAGCCACCAAGGACACACAUUUGUCCCAUGGCAUGGUCUCUUUGAUGCUUCAUUUUAUAUGGACUUGGAUAGGAUUGGUCAUCUCAGAUGAUGACCAGAGUAUUCAGUUUCUAUCAGACUUGAGAGAAGAAAUGCAAAGACAUGGAAUCUGUUUAGCUUUUGUUAAUAUGAUCCCAGAAGACAUGCAGUUAUAAAUGACAAGGGCUAAGAUAUAUAAUAAACAAAUUAUGGAAACAACAGCAAAGGUUGCUAUCAUUUAUGGUGAAAUGAACUCUACCCUAGAAGUCAGCUUUAGAAGGUGGGAAGAUUUAGGUGUAAGGAAAAUUUGGAUCACAACCUCAUUCUUCAACAAGUAGAAUCUCAGCAAAUGGCAGUACCCAAAGGAAUAUUCCCUGACUGUCAGCUGGUAAAGUUUCUUACAUUUCAUUAUGCAUUGAAAUAUAAAUGGGAUCUUUUAAAUGGAUGAAAAAGAUUUCAACCUUGAUUUCUUUCAUGGGAUGAUCACUUUUGCACACCACACGGGUGAAAUUGUUAAAUUUAGGAAUUUUAUGCAAACAAUGAACAGUGACAAAUACCCAGUAAACAUUUCUGAGUCUAUACUGGAGUGGAAUUCUUUUAAUUGUUCCAUCUCUAAGAACAGCAAUAAAAAGGAUCAUCUUACAUUCAACAACACAUUGGAAUGGACAGAACUGCACAAUUUUGACAUAGUCCUGAGUGAGGAAGGUUACAAUUUGUAAUGCUGUGUAUGCUGUGGCCCACGCCUACCAUGAACUCAUUCUUCAACAAGUAGAAUCUCAGCAAAUGGCAGUACCCAAAGGAAUAUUCCCUGACUGACAGCGGGUGUCUUCCAUACUGAAAUCCAGGAUAUUUACUAACCCUGUUGGAGAACUGGUGAACAUGAAGCAUAGGGAAAAUCAGUAUGCAGACUAUGACAUUUUCAUCAUUUGGAAUUUUCCAAAAGGCCUUGGAUUAAAAGUAAAAAUAGGAAGCUAUUUGCCUUGUUUUCAACAGAAGCAACAACUUCAUAUAUCUGAAGAUUUGGAGUGGGCCACAGGAGGAACAUCAGUGGGUUCCCUCCUCCAUGUGUAGUGUGACAUGUACUGCUGGAUUCAGGAAAAUUCAUCAGAAUCAAACAGCAGACUGCUGCUUUGACUGUGUUCAGUGCCCAGAAAAUGAGGUUUCCAAUGAAACAGAUAUGGAACAGUGUGUGAGGUGUCCAGAUGAUAAGUAUGCCAACUUAGAGAAAACCCACUGCCUCCAAAGAAAUGUGUCAUUUCUGGCUUAUGAAGAUCCAUUGGGGAUGGCUCUAGGAUGCAUGGCCCUGUCCUUCUCUGCCCUCACAGUUCUAAUACUAGUCACUUUUGUGAAGUACAAGGAUACUCCCAUUGUGAAGGCCAAUAACCGCAUUCUCAGCUAGAUCCAGCUCAUCUCUCUAGUCUUCUGUUUUCUCUGCUCAUUGCUCUUCAUUGGACAUCCCAACCAGGCCACCUGUAUCCUGCAGCAGACCACAUUUGGAGUAUUUUUCGCAGUGGCUAUUUCUACAGUGUUGGCUAAAACAAUAACUCUGCUCAUGGCUUUCAAGCUCACUACUCCAGGGAGAAGGAUGAGAGGGAUGCUGGCAUCAGGGGCACCUAACUUGGUUAUUCCCAUUUGUACCUUAAUCCAACUUGUUUUCUGUGGAAUCUGGUUGGUAACAUCUCCUCCUUUUAUUGACAUAGAUACACAAUCUGAACAUGGAAAGACCAUCAUUAUUUGCAACAAAGGCUCAGUCUUUGUUCUGGGAUACUUGGGCUCCUUGCCUCUGGAGAGCUUUACUGUGUCUUUCUUGGCUAGGAACCUUCCUGACAGAUUCAAUGAAGUCAAAUUCCUAACAUUCAGCAUGCUGGUGUUCUGCAGUGUCUGGAUCACCUUCCUCCCUGUCUACCACAGCACCAGGGGAACAGUCAUGGUGGUUGUGGAGGUUUUCUCCAUCUUGGCUUCUAGUGCAGGCUUGCUAGGAUGCAUCUUUCUCCCAAAAUGUUAAGUUAUCUUAGACUAGAUUCAAAUUUUCUGCAGAAGUACAAAAAUAAAAUGCUUUCUUGAAUCUUUAGUAAUUUUAAAAUGUUAGAUUGUACUCAUUAUAUAUUUUUGCUUUGUCUUAACAAAAGUACCACUAAAUCAUACAAAAAUUUUAAGUAAUAUACAAAGUUAGUACUUACAAUGUAGGGUAGCACAGCACUGCGUAAUGUAAUGCCAAUUACUAAGUUUUAGUGGAAAAUGGUCUUAGUCAUGUGUACAUAAACCUAAAAAUUGAGAAUAAGGAAUCUUAGUUGAUGAAUGGCUACCAUCACUUUGAUCUGUAGGUUUGUGUGUAAGCCAUGUUCCUAAUUAAUGUUUAAUAUAUGGUGACCCUACUGCUGUGACAGUGCCACGUUUGGGCAAAUUGUUCUGGAAGUUAUAAGAAAGAAGACUUGGCACAGACAUGAAGCCAGUAAUCAGCAUUAUUACAUGUGCUCUCAUUGAAUGUCUGCAUCCAAGUUCUUGUCUUGACUUCAUUCUAUUAACUGUGACCAAGGUACAUAGGGAAAUAAGACUUUUCUC